rnacentral:rRNA from 1 species
AGCUUGCUCCUUUGACGUUAGCGGCGGACGGGUGAGUAACACGUGGAUAACCUACCUAUAAGACUGGGAUAACUUCGGGAAACCGGAGCUAAUACCGGAUAACAUAUUGAACCGCAUGGUUCAAUAGUGAAAGGCGGCUUUGCUGUCACUUAUAGAUGGAUCCGCGCCGUAUUAGCUAGUUGGUAAGGUAACGGCUUACCAAGGCAACGAUACGUAGCCGACCUGAGAGGGUGAUCGGCCACACUGGAACUGAGACACGGUCCAGACUCCUACGGGAGGCAGCAGUAGGGAAUCUUCCGCAAUGGGCGAAAGCCUGACGGAGCAACGCCGCGUGAGUGAUGAAGGUCUUCGGAUCGUAAAACUCUGUUAUCAGGGAAGAACAAAUGUGUAAGUAACUGUGCACAUCUUGACGGUACCUGAUCAGAAAGCCACGGCUAACUACGUGCCAGCAGCCGCGGUAAUACGUAGGUGGCAAGCGUUAUCCGGAAUUAUUGGGCGUAAAGCGCGCGUAGGCGGUUUUUUAAGUCUGAUGUGAAAGCCCACGGCUCAACCGUGGAGGGUCAUUGGAAACUGGAAAACUUGAGUGCAGAAGAGGAAAGUGGAAUUCCAUGUGUAGCGGUGAAAUGCGCAGAGAUAUGGAGGAACACCAGUGGCGAAGGCGACUUUCUGGUCUGUAACUGACGCUGAUGUGCGAAAGCGUGGGGAUCAAACAGGAUUAGAUACCCUGGUAGUCCACGCCGUAAACGAUGAGUGCUAA